UAAAUAAUACAAUCCUGGAAGUAGACAACRCACUGUGAAAAAUCGGCUGUCCCUCAACUCUUGUGCAUUUUCGAYCCAGGCAAAAACGAUGAGAAAUUGUGUAUAUGUCAUUGCCAUGUCUUUAGUUGUUUUUUGUUUGCUUWUGGUGGAYCAAACAAGAGGUUUUCAUGCGCAUGCGACAACACAACUUGGGAAAAAGAGGGAAUUUAAGGUUAAAUCCACUGCAGAGAAUUUCUGCACUCUAGCAAAAAUGUACUGCGAAAAAAGAUCAGUCCACCAUCAAUCAGGCAGCUACCACUAUCAAAGAACCGCUCAAAAGAURGACGACCGGAAUUGAACUUGAAGAUACAGAACCCUACAAACUCGAAAUGUUAAAUUAUACUAUUUCACCAUUCUGUCCUUUGUGUAAAUUAUGCCACUCGUUGGUUGCAAUUGUUUGAACCUUUUGAUUUAUGGGAACCCUGUCUCAAACUAUUGCCGCUGACCAGUACCUUUAAAUCAAUCAAAAAUGAAUAUUAUUACGUCAUGAUGACGUAUAUUGUACGUUCAUUUAUUGGUGAGAAUUGAAUGAUAUGCAAUUAAAUAUUUUCCUACUUGA